rnacentral:rRNA from 1 species
AGUUGGUGAGGUAACGGCUCACCAAGGCUCGGAUGCGUAGCCGACCUGAGAGGGUGAUCGGCCACAAUGGGACUGAGACACGGCCCAUACUCCUACGGGAGGCAGCAGUAGGGAGUUUUCGGCAAUGGGGGGAACCCUGACCGAGCAACGCCGCGUGAAUGAAGAAGGUCUUCGGAUCGUAAAGUUCUGUUGUAGUUAGGGAAAGCCUGGAAGAGUGGAAAGCUUUCAGUUUGACCCGACUACCAGAAAGCCACGGCUAACUACGUGCCAGCAGCCGCGGUAAUACGUAGGUGGCAAGCGUUAUCCGGAAUUAUUGGGCGUAAAGAGUGAGCAGGCGGCCGUUUAAGUCUGAAGUCAAAUGCAGUGGCUCAACCACUGUCCGCUUUGGAAACUGGAUGGCUAGAGUACGAGAGAAGUAUGCGGAAUUCCAUGUGUAGCGGUGAAAUGCGUAGAUAUAUGGAGGAACACCAGAGGCGAAGGCGGCAUACUAGAUCGAUACUGACGCUCAGUCACGAAAGCGUGGGUAGCAAAUAGGAUUAGAUACCCUAGUAGUCCACGCCGUAAACGAUGAGAACUAGGUGUAGGGGCGAACCC